rnacentral:rRNA from 1 species
UGAACGCUGGCGGCGUGCCUAAUACAUGCAAGUCGAGCGAACAGAUAAGGAGCUUGCUCCUUUGACGUUAGCGGCGGACGGGUGAGUAACACGUGGAUAACCUACCUAUAAGACUGGGAUAACUUCGGGAAACCGGAGCUAAUACCGGAUAACAUAUUGAACCGCAUGGUUCAAUAGUGAAAGGCGGCUUUGCUGUCACUUAUAGAUGGAUCUGCGCCGUAUUAGCUAGUUGGUAAGGUAACGGCUUACCAAGGCAACGAUACGUAGCCGACCUGAGAGGGUGAUCGGCCACACUGGAACUGAGACACGGUCCAGACUCCUACGGGAGGCAGCAGUAGGGAAUCUUCCGCAAUGGGCGAAAGCCUGACGGAGCAACGCCGCGUGAGUGAUGAAGGUCUUCGGAUCGUAAAACUCUGUUAUCAGGGAAGAACAAAUGUGUAAGUAACUGUGCACAUCUUGACGGUACCUGAUCAGAAAGCCACGGCUAACUAC